rnacentral:rRNA from 1 species
UAGGGAAUAUUGGACAAUGGGGGAAACCCUGAUCCAGCAAUGCCGCGUGAGCGAUGAAGGCCUUAGGGUUGUAAAGCUCUUUUACCCGAGAUGAUAAUGACAGUAUCCGGGAGAAUAAGCCCCGGCUAACUCCGUGC